rnacentral:rRNA from 1 species
UGCCAGCCGCCGCGGUAAUACGGGGGGCGCAAGCGUUAUUCGGAAUUACUGGGCGUAAAGCGUACGUAGGCGGACAUUUAAGUUAGAGGUGAAAUCCCAGGGCUCAACCCUGGAACGGCCUUUAAUACUGGGUGUCUUGAGUUCGAGAGAGGUGAGUGGAAUUCCGAGUGUAGAGGUGAAAUUCGUAGAUAUUCGGAGGAACACCAGUGGCGAAGGCGGCUCACUGGCUCGAUACUGACGCUGAGGUGCGAAAGUGUGGGGAGCAAACAGGAUUAGAUA